GAUCCUCUGCCGGUGCAACUUGGUUCUCUCCAUCUCCAUGGUUCCAUAGCAUGGCCACGCGCCACCACAAUCUCCCAAGAUUCUUCAAGACCUCAGCUUUCCCAUCCAAAUCCAAGCAAACCCGCGCUAAAUGCGACGCCUCCUCGGCCCCAUCGACCGCGGCUCCACGCGCCGACGCGCUCGCCAGGUUCUUGCCCGCCACCCGUUCGCUGAAAUGCCUCACCAAGCUCCACGCGCUGCUCGUCGUGGCGGGCGCGGUCCGGGACGCGCCGGUCGUCCUAGCGGCCGUCGAGGGGUACCUCUUCUUCGGUAAGCCCGCGCAGGCGGCGGCUCUGUUCGCCGGGUUCUACCGCCGCCGCCGCCGCCGCCCCGAGGUGUAUGAGCUGAACGUUUCUGUGCGGUGCUUCUCGGACCAUGGGUUCCACGGGGAGCUUCUUGGCCUCUACCGCGAGCUGUGCGCCUUUGGGUCCGACAACUUCACGUUUGCGCCGGUUGUCAAGGCGUGUGCGGCCGUUUCUUGCCUUCGGCUGGGGAAGGAAGUGCACUGCAGGGUCAUGCGGACAGGGCAUGGUGGCAAUGUCGGUGUUCAGACUGCUCUCCUCGACAUGUAUGCUAAGUCUGGACAGGUCAAUCUGUCGAGGACAGUCUUUGAUGGCAUGGCGAGCAGAGACCUGGUUUCUUGGAACGCAAUGAUUUCUGGUUAUUGUCUGAAUGGGUGUUUACAAGAAGCUUCCGAGGCUUUCAAGCAGCUGGAGCAGGAUGGUUUUAGGCCCAAUGCUGGCUCUCUUGUUGGCAUUGCAAGUAUGUGCAGUGGUUUAGGAGUAAGUGCUUCCGGUGGUUCAUUGCAUACCUUCGCACUGAAAUCUGGGCUGCUCGGUGACGAGCCCCUUACUCCUGCAUUCAUCUCAAUGUAUGCGGCGCUGGGGCAUCUUUCAUCAUCCUGGUUACUCUUUCACGAGUAUUCUGUGAAUAGUUUAGUAUAUUUCAAUUCCAUGAUCUCAGCGUGCGUGCAGCAUGGAGAUUGGGAGGGAGCAUUUUGGGUAUUCAGAUUGAUGCUUUGCACUGGACUAGUACCUAAUCUGGUUACGGUGGUAUCUAUCCUUCCAUGUUGCAGUAACUUUUUUGGUAUAAAUCAUGGUGACUCUAUGCAUGGUAUGGUUAUCAAGUUUGGUCUUGAAGAACAGGUUUCUGUUGUCAGUGCUCUGGUUUCCAUGUAUUCGAAGCUUGGGGACGUGGAUUCAGCCGUGUUUCUUUUCUCCAGUCUUACAGAGAAGAACCAACUGUUGUGGAACUCCUUAAUUUCUGGGUACCUCGUGAAUAACAAAUGGAACAUGGUUCUUGAUUCAGUAUGUAAAAUGCAAACUGAAGGAGUUGAUCCAGAUGCAUUAACAAUCAUUAAUGUGAUCUCUGCCUGUAGACACACAAAAGAUUUACGUGUUGCAAAGUCUAUCCAUGCAUAUGCUGUCAGAAGCAGAUUUGAAAUGAAUGAUAGUGUGAUGAAUGCACUCCUAACUAUGUAUGCUGCCUGUGGGGAGCUCUCAACUUCGAACCAGUUAUUUCAGAAAAUGGAAGUUCAGACAUUAAUAUCUUGGAACACUAUAAUAUCUGGUUUUGCUGAAAAUGGAGAUUCAAUGUCUUGUUUAACACUGUUCUGCCAGAUGCGCUUAUCAGGCAUACAGUUUGAUCUAGUAACGCUAAUUGCACUUAUCAACAGCCUUUCUGCCACUGAAGAUACUACAAUUGGAGAAUUACUUCAUUCUUUAGCAGUCAAAAGUGGAUGCAGCUUUGAUGUUUCUGUUGCAAAUGCCCUCAUUACUAUGUACACCAACUGUGGUAUUAUUCAGGCAGGAAAGAAACUCUUUGAUAGCUUGUCUUCUGCGAACACAAUCUCUUACAAUGCUCUGAUGACUGGAUACCGCAAAAACAACUUUUCUGGGGAGAUCCUACCUUUAUUACAUGAAAUGAUCAAUAAUGAUCAGCGGCCAAAUACGGUUACCAUGCUGAAUUUAUUGCCUAUCUGUCAUAACUAUUUGCAAGGGAAAGCAAUUCACAGCUAUGCAAUACGAAAUAUCUUCAAGCUAGAGACAUCUUUCUUUACGUCAGCCAUUUGUAUGUACAGUAGGUUCAACAAUAUAGAAUACUGCCAUAAACUUUUUAGUUUGGUAGGUGAAAGAAACAUCAUACUAUGGAAUGCCAUCUUAUCUGCUUGUGUUCAAUGUAAGCAGGCAGCAGUUGCAUUUGAUUACUUCAAGCAAAUGCAGUUCCUAGAUAUCAAAACUGAUACUGUAACCAUCUUGGCACUCCUCUCAGCAUGUUCACAGCUUGGAAAGGUAGAUUUGGCAGAGUGUCUCACGGCUAUUGUAUUGCGGAAGGGCUUUGAUGGAACCAUUGCAGUUCUUAAUGCUCUUAUAGAUAUGCAUUCAAGGUGCGGAAGCAUAUCAUUUGCAAGGAAGCUCUUUGAUAUCUCGAUGGAAAAAGAUUCAGUCUCUUGGAGUUCAAUGAUUAAUGCAUACAGUAUGCAUGGGGAUGGUGGGUCAGCCCUUGACCUUUUCAAUAUGAUGGUAGCUUCAGGUGUCCAGCCAGAUGACAUAACUUUCGUUAGUAUCUUAUCAGCUUGCAGUCAUAGUGGGUUUCUUGAGCAAGGUAGAGCAUUAUUCAGAUCACUACAUACAGACUAUGGCAUCACACCAAGAAUGGAACAUUAUGCAUGCAUGGUAGAUUUGUUGGGCCGAACUGGCCACUUGGAUGAAGCAUAUGAUGUUAUUACAACAAUGCCACUCAGGCCAUCAGAAAGUAUGCUUGAGUCCUUGCUUGGAGCUUGUAGAUUCCACGGAAAUUCUGAAAUUGGUGAAUCUGUAGGGAAAUUACUUACUGAACCUGAGCAUGGAAAUACAAGAUCUUAUGUUAUGCUCUCUAACAUCUAUGCUUUGGCUGGCAAAUGGAGUGCUUAUGAGCAACUGCGAUCAGAUAUGGAAGCAAAAGGAUUGAUAAAAGAUGCAGGAGUUAGCUUAAUUGGGGGAAUAUAGUAACCCUGAUGCAAAUAGAGUCCCAAUGAUAAAGAAGUUAUUCGUAAUGAUGAGGCAGUCAUACAUUAGGCAGCACAGUUUUAGGUCUGUCAAUGCUUGGUCAACAGAUGAUUUCUUUUGUCAAAGCUCAAAAGAAUAUACAUUCUUGUCGGCAGCAAAGUCAUUGGACUAGUAGGCAAACAUAACAAGUGCAAGUAUUUUCAUCUUGGUGCAAGUGUAACCAGCCAUGUUGCUUCAAAUUUAUUCAUCCUAAAGGAAGAUUAUGAACAUGUCAAUGGUAGGAUCAUAACAGAAGCAGGACAUAAACUUCCAAAGUGAAUUUUGAGAUC